GUGGCUCUCAGCGGCCGGUCGGAUUAAAAGUAACCAGACUCGUCCAGAAAACUGCGUCCAGGAAGGAAGUGACAGAAGACGAAUGGGAAAAGGAGAACAGCUCACAGCGUUUGAAACAUCGCGGCACCACUUUCAGAUAAAAACAUAGACCUGAAUGGCAUCAUCCAGUAUCCAAGGAAACCAUAUUGGAAGAAUGCGAAAUGUUAUUAGACACAGGCACAGCAUAGCAGUAGAAACAUCUUAACUGAGAACCGGGAACUGAAAGAGAAAGCAACCAACUUAAAGGGCAGACAAGACACAUGGUUAUAUAACACAGCAGUGGGUAUUCACAGUGAUGACACAAGACAAAAUAAUUACAUUUUCAUUCUAAAACCAAUUUUUAAGGAGGCAAGGGCAUUUAUAAAACAUUUUAGAAACUAAAAUAAAAAUGGUAAAAUUAAAGUGUUUGUUUAUGUACCCAACAAAUAUUUAUUUGGAAAAUGCAUGUCUGGGGGCACAUCUCGUUAAUGAGGUGAUCCUGUGUUUAGAACUGAAGGCAGUCUUCAUCCAUUCUCUCAAAAGGUGACCUUCUUUGUUCUUCUUAUAGCCUCACCACAUUUAAUUUUCAGAGGUUUUGAUAUAAAUUAAAAACAUUCUUUGGUUGAUUGUAUUGUAUGAAAACACUCUUCAAAAGUGUAAGCAUUGAUAUCUGGAAUAUCUGGGAAAAUGUACAAUAAAGACAUCUCUUCUGGUCUUCCUCUGAUGGUAAUGUGUUCACUAUUAUACUGAUGAUGUAAGCUAUGUAUGUAAACCUAUGCAGGUAAAAUUCUGCUAAAGCCAAUCCCACUACAAAACAACAACAACAACAAACCCCAAAUGGCAUCUGAAGAGCUUGAGAAUUCCAGGAAUGUGAUAAAAAUGUUUUUAAUAAUACACUGAAAAGUAAUUUAGUGUGUAAAUAAUAUUUUAGAGUAAAUGCUUCAUUUUAUUCCUUCCAUAUAACAACUGUCUUCUGUAAUGAAAAUACUUACUUGUUUGUUUAGUGUCUAAAGGUUGAGAAGGGAACUAGAAUUGGCCUAAGGAGGCCCUCAGCCACCCAUCAUGUGACAGUAUGGCCAGGAGGACUUACUCUCUGCUCUCCUCCUCUUGACGUGCCUCAAACACACCGAUCAUUUGCAUUUGGGAAAUCAACCCUCACUAGCAAAUUACUCCUGCCAACAAAAUAACCCAAUCAGCAUGCGAAACUGGUAGUGAGCUGGGAGAGGGCGAUGAGAGUGGUGUUCACAUGGCUCCCUCUGUUUCCCUUUCCCCAGGUCUGGGCACACACUGUCAGUCAGUGGCCCCUGACUCAGAAAGAGGUUUGAUUUAAACCAUUUCAUUUUCUGCUCUCAGACUGGGAAUUUAUUUAAUAUGAAUGUCAUCAUUAUAACAAAACUCAACUGUAUUCUAGCAAAAAUUUGGCUGAUCUAUGAAGAAUAUUGGAAGGAGAAUCUGUGAACCCAAAAAUACUAGACCACUGCUUAUUCAGUUCUGCAAUUUUGUCACUUUAAUGGACUCUUCAGAGUGCCAAAUCACUAGUCCUACUGACUAUACAAAAAUUGGCCAUCAAGAUGCCUGCCUCCAACAAAUUGAUGCUGUUAUUUCAUGUUAUCCACUUUGGGCUUAGAGACUGAAGGCCAAAAAGCAUCCAAUUUUUAUGGUAAAAAAGUGCAUCAGGAGGGCAACUACAUACAAAGUUACCCUCCCAGUUUGACCCUGUCCUUAAGUUUUUAUUGCCUGAACUGGCACCAAAGAAACUCCUUGAAAAUAACACAUUCCUUGUCCAUUCAGUGGUUAAUGAUGCUUAAAAAAAAAUCACAGUUUGUGACUGUGACCUAAAUUAUGCCAGAAGCCGUAAAACCAUGGUUUCUUUAAGUUCAAAUAUGACCCACAUGCUUUAAAACCACUACACUGACCCUAUAGUACUGUUGCUGAGUGUGCGUGUCCUCACAUAAACACAGACACACACACACACACACACCCCACUUGGCAUUAAAUGACUCGAUAAAAGAAAUGGUAUUUUUCAGACUUCCAUGUUAAAAAAAAGGCUCAUGAAAGAGAUGUAACUGAGCUUUAAGCCAAACAUUUGUUUGGCUUUGCUGCAGCAGGCUGCAGGAAUGUAAACUUUUUUUUUUUUUCAAUGACUUCAGCUCCUAAUUUGAAAGCUAGGAUUUUUAGGAGUGAGCAAGAGACUAUAUUUGGCCAAAAAAUUCUGCUGGCUUUACUUAGCCAAUCUGCACAUUCAAAACAAUACUUCUUUAUCAAAAAAACAAUAGUCUGUUUUAUUCACAGCACAUGUAGAAGUUGGAACAUCGACUAAAUUCCACUUUC